rnacentral:rRNA from 1 species
GACGUAGGGCGCGAGCGUUGUCCGGAUUUAUUGGGCGUAAAGAGCUCGUAGGCGGUUUGUCGCGUCGUCCGUGAAAACUCACAGCUUAACUGUGAGCUUGCGGUCGAUACGGGCAGGCUAGAGUUCGGCAGGGGAGACUGGAAUUCCUGGUGUAGCGGUGAAAUGCGCAGAUAUCAGGAGGAACACCGGUGGCGAAGGCGGGUCUCUGGGCCGAUACUGACACUGAGGAGCGAAAGCGUGGGGAGCGAACAGG